GGAAGAGAGCGUGGGUGAGCAUUACUUGACAUCUUAUUGCUUAUUCUGCCAUUCGUUGUCUUGGAAAUGGAUUCUUGAAUUUGCGUACAGCAUUUGAAGAAUAUCAAUUAGCCCCUCUUGCAACGAUUGUAGUGUGUGGAUUUCCAACAGGGCACGCAUGCGAAGAGCGGUCAUAAGAUAGACAUAGAAAAGCUUAAAAGCUUAUCACCGAAUAUCAUUGAUCUGCGGUCACCUUGGAUAAGUGAACGAAACAUCACGCGAUUCUUAUCUAUGUUUUUGCAUAUCGAGAUAAGAGUGCCGUUAUGUAAAAGCUUUUUCUCUAGCAUAGUUAGGGCUAGAUUUGCAUAGGAGAGCUUUGACAUUUUUUGACGAGCUUGAAAGCAAUACGGCUGCAAUUGUAAGCCAAGUUUAAUAAAUAUUUAAAUUGUGCUGAAAAUUAAAUAAAAUCAAAUCCCAGACGAAUUAUCGGGAUUCAUUUAAUAAGUGUUUAGUUAUUUUAUGCCAGUGCCACGUGCCAGUGCGGCUAGUACCAAAUUAUGUAAGCGGCUAGCACCAGUUUUUUUAAUCGGCUAGUACAGGAUUAUGUAAUCGUCUAGCACCCUAUUAUGCAACCGGCUAUCUGGAGGCCGAAAUGGAUGAAAUAUGGGAAUUAACUAGUGCAGAGAUUCGACGCGGGAUCGCAAUCUUUUGAUAAAUAUUUUUGGAUUCGACGACAAGCCCCCUUUUCGCUACACGGAGAGAAAACUCCAGCGAAUUAUUGAUAAAUUUCUAUUCCUGUCCUUGAGCUCAACGGCGGCGAACAUCGGUGAGUGAAUAUCCCUAAAUUAAAUUUUAAUAGUUUUGCGAAGCAAACAGUAAAUUUUAGCAAGGCAUGAAUUGGAUAAUUUUGGAUUGAUAAUAAUUUUAACUAAUGAAAUCGCAAAUUUUAUAAUUCCUAAUUUAAUUACUACAUUAAUCCCAAACGUAGUUAAACUGAUUUAUUGAAUUUAACCCAAUAUUUUUAAAUCUCUUCUUUAUAUCUAAAUAUA